rnacentral:rRNA from 1 species
UGGGGAAUCUUGCGCAAUGGGCGAAAGCCUGACGCAGCGACGCCGCGUGGGUGAUGAAGGCCUUCGGGUUGUAAAGCCCUGUGGAGGGAGAAGAAUAAGUCGUAGCGAACAGCUCCGAUGAUGACGGUAUCCCUUUAGCAAGCACCGGCUAACUCUGUGCCAGCAGCCGCGGUAAGACAGAGGGUGCAAACGUUGUUCGGAAUUACUGGGCGUAAAGCGCGUGUAGGCGGCUUGGCAAGUCGGGUGUGAAAGCCCCGGGCUCAACCUGGGAAGUGCACUCGAAACUGCUUCGCUUGAGUACUGGAGAGGGUAGUGGAAUUCUCGGUGUAGAGGUGAAAUUCGUAGAUAUCGAGAGGAACAUCGGUGGCGAAGGCGGCUACCUGGACAGUUACUGACGCUGAGACGCGAAAGCGUGGGGAGCAAACAG